rfam:Monodelphis domestica chromosome 1, whole genome shotgun sequence.
GGCUAGUUAGCUCAUAUGGUUAGAGCGCACAGCUAAUGAAGCCGAGGUCAUGGGUUCAAUCCCCAUAUGGGUUA